CUAAAACCCCCAAAAGCAGGCAAUGCAGAUGUAGAAGCACAGUGGCGAGGAAAAAGCCCAUUUUACAUUAACUUCUCAAAGUAUUGUCAUACAGGACUUUGGGGCUGUUGCUUGCGUAGUGGUGGAGAGUCGACUCCAAAAUAAUUGAUUCCUCGACUCCUUGCACCUCGACUCUUGGUGUCGAUUCCCAUUUCUGAGUGUCAAAAUGUAUUGUGCUAGAAAUCGACUCCUAAGAUCCAGGAUUUUUGGAAUGGAGGAGACUGAUUAGUUGCUGUACUUCUGAGAACAAAAACACCCAUAUUUUUCGUAGCGAGCUAGCGUAGGACGGAGAGAGGGGAGGGGCACAGUAUAGGCAGGUCAGCUACCAGACAGACAGACAGAACCGUGCACUAGGUCUAUCUAUCAGUAUAGGCAGGUCAGUCACCCGACAGACAGACAGAACCGUGCACUAGGUCUAUCUAUCAGUACAGGCAGGUCAGCUACCAGACAGACAGAACCGUGCACUAGGCCCAUCUAUCAGUAUACGCAGGUCAGUCACCAGACAGACAGACAGAACCGUGCACUAGGUCUAUCUAUCAGUAUAGGCAGGUCAGCCACCAGACAGACAGUCAGAACCGUGCACUAGGUCUAUCUAUCAGUAUAGGCAGGUCAGUCACCAGACAGACAGUCAGAACCAUGCACUAGGUCUAUCUAUCAGUAUAGGCAGGUCAGUCACCAGACAGACAGAACCGUGCACUAGGUCGAUCUAUUGGCAAUCCAAAGCUGUAUCUCGUAAUGGAAUGCUGUAUCUGGCAAUUUCUUGGCACCAGUAAAAGCAGGGCCUAUUAUCAAUAAAUAGGCUAGCAUAUUGAGAUGAGCAAGAUGCAACACCACUCUCUCACACAGUAAAUGUGCAUGUGCACAGGUUCACGCUGUUCACAGUGUGGUAGCCAGGGCACCAAAACAGCAGAGAAGUUGAGCCUCGCACUUCAACGCUCUCAGUUGUUGCGGAAAUGUACACACUAUGCUGUUUACUUUCUGUAGCUACAAAAUGGUGGCUACCACUUUCUCUAGUUGAAUCAAGCUCUGUCUGUCAGUCGGUACCAGGACCACUGGUUAGUGCAGUGCACCUUCCAGCCCAGGCUUAAAUGGCAGCUGUCCUUGGUGCUGAAAGGGAUAGAGGCUAACUGCAUAAUGUUCUCUGGCAGCAGCUACAGAGACCUAGGAUACAAAAGAAAGAAUGUGUCUGUCUGUCUGUCUGUCUGUCUGUCUGUCUGUCUGUCUGUCUGUCUGUCUGUCUGUCUUCUUCAUCCCUGUACAGUCUGUCUCAUCCCUGUACAGUCUGUCUCAUCCCUAUACAGUCUGUCUCAUCCCUGUACAGUCUGUCUCAUCCCUGUACAGUCUGUCUCAUCCCUGUACAGUCUGUCUCAUCCCUGUACAGUCUGUCUCAUCCCUGUACAGUCUG
rnacentral:lncRNA from 1 species